rnacentral:rRNA from 1 species
UACGUAGGGUGCAAGCGUUGUCCGGAAUUAUUGGGCGUAAAGAGCUCGUAGGCGGUCUGUUGCGUCGGCUGUGAAAACCCGGGGCUCAACCCCGGGCCUGCAGCCGAUACGGGCAGACUAGAGUUCGGCAGGGGAGACUGGAAUUCCUGGUGUAGCGGUGAAAUGCGUAGAUAUCAGGAGGAACACCUGCGGUGUAGACAGCUUUCUGGACCACUUCUGACGCUGAGACACGAAAGCGUGGGUAGCAAACAGG